rnacentral:lncRNA from 1 species
UUUUUCACUCCACAAAGGAGAACAUGUCAUGGAAGUGACUUGCCUAAGAACAUACUUCAAGCUAUCUCUUCACCAAGAGAACUCUAAGUUAGACAAAAGGACGAAUCUGUGGAAGGCUGUCAGCAGGAUACAAUGCUCAUGUGUGUGCCAAGCAUUUUUUAAAUUAGCCAACUGUCCUCACCAGAGGCUGUGACUGACAAAAAAUCAUAUCACCAUAUCCAGGCUGGGCGCGGAGGCUCACGCCUGUAAUCCCAGCACUUUGGGAGGCCGAGACAGGCAGAUUGGUUGACGUCAGGAGUUCAAGACCAGCCUGGCCAACAUGGUGAAACCCCAUCUCUGUCAACGAGACCCAAGGGUACAUCAACCACCCAAAUCCAUCAUGAUCCUAUGUGGGUUCUGCCUAAGGAAGACUUUCAAGGCAGGAGGCCCUUGAGGAAGAACAGAAUCAUCAUGUCAUCAUCCAGGGUCCUCUAUCUCUGGCAAAGACUGGCCUGAUGAAUGGGAUCAGAGCUGGAGGCCUGGGUAUCUUUUGACUGCAAGAGUUAGGGGUGGCGGGGUCGAUACAGUCCUGCGGCAGCCAAGACAUCCCCAACCUGUCCCUGAAUAACAGACAAGUCUACAUUUCCUGAAAUUCUGUAUCACUGUAUUGGCAAUAAACACCUAGAGAAGUAAGAAAGGAGGAGCUCCUACAACACAAGGCUACCAUUGCUGCCUUCUGCACUUGUUCUUUUUGCUCUCCUCUCUGUUCACUCGUUUGUAGUAAAUAGCUCUUAAAUCUUUAAAACAAAAAUUAAAUAGAGAAAGAAAUCAUACAGAAUCAUAGAGACAAAGUAAAACAGUGGUUGCCAGGGGCUGGCAAAGUAGAUAAUGGGAAGUUAGUGUUUAAUGGGUACAGAGUUUCAGCUUUACGAGAUGAAAAGAGUGUUGGAGAUGGAUGGUGGGGAUGGUUGCCCAAUAAUGUGAAUGUACUUGAUGCCACUCAACUGUAUGCUUACAAAGGGUUAAAAUGGUAUAUUUUAUGUUAUGCAUAUUUUACAACAAUUUUUUUUAAGUUAAUGGGGCCGGGCACGGUGGCUCACACCUGUAAUCCCAGCACUUUGGGAGGCCGAGAUGAGCGGAUCACUUGAGGUCGGGAGUUCAAGACCAGCCUGGCCAACAUGACAAAACCCUGUCUCUACUGAAAAUACAAAAAUUAGCCUGUAGUCCCAGCUACUUGGGAAGCUGAGGCUUGAGAAUCACUUGAAUCUGGGAGGUGGAGGUUGCAGUGAGCCGAGAUCAUGCCACUGCACUCCAGCCUGGGCAACAGAGCAAGACUCUAAGAAAAAAAAAAAAAGUUAAUGGUAUUUGCUAGUCUUCAAGGUCAAUAAAGAAAAGUGAAGGGUAACCAGGUAAAUGUGUCCCACUCUACAGCUAAUUUUGAGGAGACCAGAAACCUAAGGGCAAGAAGGAGUAUUGGCAACUGUUAAAAGGAAAGAAAAGUAGACUCUAUCCCAGGAGCCUGCAGCAGAGAAGAAAAACAAAAACCAAAACAUUUGAGAGGCAGGAUGAGCAUCUGAACUGGCCCGGUCCUGGAGUUUGGAGUAGAUAGACCUUUGAGUGAUGUAGAGACAUAGAGGCCACACAUUCCUCCAGGCCUGCCCCAUCACAAGGCCAUCCCUCUCACUCUUCAUUGUCUUUUCCAAAAUAUUGCUGUUCUUGCCUUCCUCAGUAGUCUCUUCUUUUGAACUACAGGCUAUCCUGUAACACCAUCACUUUCCCAUCCUCUCCCACAGUGUGCCUGAGAGCCUUAAUAUCUGGUUUGCCGUUUCCUGGACUCUUGCCAGUUAAUGGGGUAAUUUCAACAUUCAUGUUGAUGACUUAGCCAAUCUCAUUUCCUCUGUUUCCAUAUGGCCAUCUUCAUCUUUGGUAACCCAUUCCUGAGGCCACACCCUGCAAUAAUAACAAUAGUCAUGACUAUAUAUCAGAACUUGCCAAGUGGCAGGCACCAUGCUAGUAAAUUCACAUCAUUUUCCGUAACCCUCACAGAUAAUGUAAAGUCAGGCUAUAGCACUCCUAGGUAGAGAUGGCCCAGUGUCACAGAGAUAAUGACUAGAUAGGGGCUAGGAUUCUAAACCUGCUGCUCAGACUCCCAAGUCCAUGCUCUCCUCUCUUUAUAGCACAGCCUCAGAACACAUCUGAAAUAUAAACCCUGAAACUCCCGGUCUCUGACCAUACACUCUUGCCUUGACCUCUUCCACCAAACCUCUUCCUUGGCCUCAUCAAAUGUCCAACCUCUCAAUGCUUGCUUUUAUUCCAAAUUUAUCAAUCCUUCCUGAUGUUCUUCCUUCCAUACCUGUGGCCAGAGGAAAUGCUGAGAAAAUCCUCAUAAGACUGUUUCUUUGGCUCAGUGCCCAUGCAAUGAACUCCCUCCCUUUGAUCAUCAGGCUACUGAUUAAAUUAGUAAAAUCCUCUAGGCCUAAAAUUGUAAGCAAUGCUAUAAUGGUGAUAUAAGUGCUGAACUUUAAUAAGUGUGAUAGAUUGGUUGGAACCAAGUGGAGAGAAAACAGCUGAUGGCAGGUGGCACAUGAUAAGAACCAUGGCUAUUCCCAGUUGGUCUCAUAAAAAUGAGGCCCCAUGCUUCCUCUCAGGGCUGUUUGAUCCAGCAAGAGUGCAUUCUGACCGUGAUGUCACUGCUGGCAUCCACUGAAAGACAUGCUCUCUCCCUCCAUCUUGAAGACGGUGACUCAACACCCUAGGGUUUCCACAAGUGGCUGGAAAAAAUUCUCACUCCCUUUACCAUCCAUCAACAUGCACCCACUGCCACUGAGUGAUUGUGACAGUAAAGUGUGCCCUUCAGUAGAGACCUCCCUUCCCUCUUCAAGACUAAGGCUUGCAGGAGGAGUUGAGGAGGGAAACAAAGUAGAAUUCUGUAGUUUAAUGUGAAAGCAUAGGUAAGCAUGUAUGUUCUUUGUCAUUAGACAAAGAAUAUGACAGACAAAAAUGCAAAAGCAUAUGAGAUAGACCUAUAUGUAACAAGUUCUGAACUCUUGGUCAUCAAUAAUUCAGAGCCUAUCCUAGUCAAUCGCUUCAACAACACUCUCAACAUCUCCAUUCUCUUGCCCUCUUGCCCAGUCCUUCUGCUCACCCUUGACAUUCCACAGCAACUCUGUUUUCUCCAAUUCUGAAUAUUCUGCCACUGUUGGAAAAGAAAAUCAUAAAACUAUGUUGAUUAUCUAAAUUACGUUUUAAAGCUCAAACCUCAGUUCUGCCCUGCAUAUUCCUGUAUUGUGUUUCCUUACAGCAGCAUUUCCAAAUUUGUUCCAUGUUGCUCAAGUUCCCUACCCCAACCCUAGCCCCUUGACCCUCACAAGACAACACAGCUUCCUAAUGUCCAAGAAAAAAAAAGCAGUCAUCCACAAUUUUUAUCCCUUUCAAGUUUUACUUCCACUUACCUUCCCCACUUCUUGUUCAAAAAGAAAGUACCCCACUUCUAUCCAGGGCCAGUCAAUCCAUCAGCAUGUUGAUCCUGGCCUUCCUCUUCUAGGAUGUUUCAUGAACUCCAGACUUCUUCAUCCAAAAAAAAUCAAUCACUAAAGCAAGCCUUCCCUCAGUUCUACAUACUCAUCAAACCACCGCCCUAUGGCUGCCCUUCCAUGAGUACCCACCUGUUUUUGGUACUCAUGCCCUCCACUGCCUCACCUCCCCAUUCAUCCCUCAAUUUGUCAUAAUUUAGCUCCC